CACGUAGGGUGCGAGCGUUGUCCGGAAUUAUUGGGCGUAAAGAGCUCGUAGGCGGUGUGUCACGUCGGCCGUGAAAACCUGCAGCUUAACUGUGGGCGUGCGGUCGAUACGGGCAUCACUGGAGUUCGGCAGGGGAGACUGGAAUUCCUGGUGUAGCGGUGAAAUGCGCAGAUAUCAGGAGGAACACCGGUGGCGAAGGCGGAUCUCUGGGCCGUAACUGACGCUGAGGAGCGAAAGCAUGGGGAGCGAACAGG
rnacentral:rRNA from 1 species